UACGUAGGGGGCAAGCGUUGUCCGGAUUUAUUGGGCGUAAAGAGCUCGUAGGCGGUCUGUCGCGUCGGCUGUGAAAACCCGGGGCUCAACCCCGGGCCUGCAGUCGAUACGGGCAGACUAGAGUGCGGUAGGGGAGACUGGAAUUCCUGGUGUAGCGGUGAAAUGCGCAGAUAUCAGGAGGAACACCGGUGGCGAAGGCGGGUCUCUGGGCCGUAACUGGCGCUGAGGAGCGAAAGCGUGGGGAGCGAACAGG
rnacentral:rRNA from 1 species